CGUGUAGGCGGUUGGUCAAGUCCGGUGUGAAAGCCCGGGGCUCAGCUCCGGAAGUGCAUCGGAAACUAGCCAGCUUGAGCGCGAUAGAGGAGGGUGGAAUUCCUGGUGUAGCGGUGAAAUGCGUAGAUAUCAGGAGGAACACCGGCGGCGAAGGCGGCCCUCUGGAUCGUUGCUGACGCUGAGACGCGAAAGCGUGGGGAGCAAACAGGAGUAGAUACCCUGGUAGUCCACGCUGUAAACGAUGGGUACUAGGUGUUCGGGGUGUUGACCCCCUGAGUGCCGCAGCUAACGCAUUAAGUACCCCGCCUGGGGACUACGGCCGCAAGGUUAAA
rnacentral:rRNA from 1 species